rnacentral:rRNA from 1 species
GCUGGCGGUCUGCUUAACACAUGCAAGUCGAACGAACUCUUCGGAGUGAGUGGCGGACGGGUGAGUAACGCGUGAGAAUCUGCCUGUGGGUCGGGGACAACCACUGGAAACGGUGGCUAAUACCGGAUGAGCCGAAAGGUAAAAAAUUUAUUGCCCACAGAUGAGCUCGCGUCUGAUUAGCUAGUUGGUAAGGUAAAAGCGUACCAAGGCGACGAUCAGUAGCUGGUCUGAGAGGAUGAGCAGCCACACUGGGACUGAGACACGGCCCAGACUCCUACGGGAGGCAGCAGUGGGGAAUUUUCCGCAAUGGGCGAAAGCCUGACGGAGCAAGACCGCGUGGGGGAGGAAGGUUUUUGGAUCGUAAACCCCUUUUGUCAAGGAAGAAGUUCUGACGGUACUUGACGAAUAAGCCUCGGCUAACUCCGUGCAAGCAGCCGNGUAUACGGAGGAGGCAGCGUUUUCCGAAUGAU